GAUGAAGAACGCAGCGAAAUGCGAUACGUAAUGUGAAUUGCAGAUCUCUCAGUGAACCAUCGAAUUUUUGAACGCACAUUGCGCCCCUUGGUAUUCCGAGGGGCAUGCCUGUUCGAGCGUCAUUUUGACCACUCCCGCUUGCGGGGUCUUGGGCCUUCGCCUCUGGGCGGGCCUUAAAAUCAGUGGCGGUGCCGUCCGGCUCUAAGCGUAGUAAAUCUCCUCGCUAUAGGGUUCCGGAGGGAUGCUGGCCAACAACCCCCAACUUUUAAGGUUGACCUCGGAUCAGGUAGGGAUACCCGCUGAACUUAAGCAUAUCAAUAAGCGGAGGA
rnacentral:misc_RNA from 1 species